GCGGGGGUAGCCAAGCCUGGAAACGACGCAGGACUUAAGAUCCUGUCCCGUAGGGGUCCGUGGGUUCAAAUCCCUCCCCCCGCUCCA
rnacentral:tRNA from 1 species